CACGUAGGGGGCGAGCGUUGUCCGGAUUUAUUGGGCGUAAAGAGCUCGUAGGCGGCUCGGUAAGUCGGGUGUGAAACCUCCAGGCUCAACCUGGAGACGCCACUCGAUACUGCCGUGGCUAGAGUCCGGUAGAGGAGCGUAGAAUUCCUGGUGUAGCGGUGAAAUGCGCAGAUAUCAGGAGGAAUACCAGCGGCGAAGGCGGCGCUCUGGGCCGGAACUGACGCUGAGGAGCGAAAGCGUGGGGAGCAAACAGG
rnacentral:rRNA from 2 species